CACACUGUAAGAUUUCAUUUUCUCCUGUAUUAUGUUAGCGGCCGCUCUCUUGGCCUAUGGACCUUGUGUAAAUGCUAUUUUAACUUGUUUGUUUCCCUCCUAUAUUUUGUCUGGCUACUGUUGUUGUUAUUGUUAUUAUUUAUUUACAAUAGGAUGCACAAAUUUGGUGCAUGAAUUUUUUGCCACGUUUUUUCCUAAAUAUCUCCACUUUUUAUCCAGUGUCCUUUUUAUUAAUUUAUUAUCGUUAGUGUCUCAGUACACAAUACAGUCAUUGCAAUUAAAUAACAACGGUACUGUUUGGAAAUUUUAACCUGAAGCAUUUAUUGAUAAGCUGAUGUAUUUUUUUAAAAGUAUAUAUGUACAGGAAGUGGAUUAUUUUUAAAAAUAUAAAUGUUAAUUCUGAAUAAAAUCUGGAUUAAGAAUAAAAAUGGGUUGCAUUUUGUAAAAGGUUGCCAUCAGUGCAAUUUUUCUAGGAAAAGAGGUGCAGGAACUCAUCAUGAACAACUUCCUCGUUCUCUUAGAAUGACAAUGGUGCUCACCUGAGAGGUGCCGCAACAGAAUUCCAGCAAAUUCCGGCUGGAAAAAGCCCUGGUUGCCAUUAUUUGAAGAUAAGUUGGAUGCAUUUCUGAUUCCACAUAAUACCUUGAAAAUGUAUUUGCCCACACAGAAUCUGCUGUGGUUGUGAAUAUAAGUUUUCCUUCAUAUUUUUCAGGGCUAGUCGUUCAAUGCGCUCAGCAACUGAGAGGGAGGAUGAAGGCCUAAUCUCAUGCAGGAAUUUGAGUGGCGAUUUCAGUGCUAUUUCUUCCCAGCCAGAGCAGGUUAGCAUCUACUAUGGAUUGUUGAAUUAGAGGAGGUACGAUGGCCAUCUUCAGAUAUCUAAAGGGCUUUCACAUGGAAGGUGGAGCAAGCUUGUCUUCUCCUGCUCCGGAAGUUUGUGCAUCCUGACGUUCAUAUGUUGAGAAUGUGUAUUGGACAGAAGGACUAUGUAAAUAAGCAAGCUGAUAGCACAGUGACUGCAGAAAACUCCAGAUGUUUGACUUCUCGCUCAAAGUAAUGAAGGACACUAGAACGCUGAUAUUCCAA